UACGUAGGGACCAAGCGUUGUUCGGAUUUACUGGGCGUAAAGGGCGCGUAGGCGGUCGUGACAAGUCACUUGUGAAAUCUCCGGGCUUAACUCGGAACGGUCAAGUGAUACUGUCGGACUAGAGUACAGAAGGGGCAACUGGAAUUCUCGGUGUAGCGGUGGAAUGCGCAGAUAUCAGGAGGAACACCGGUGGCGAAGGCGGUUCUCUGGGCCUUACCUGACGC
rnacentral:rRNA from 1 species